GUAGGUGAACCUGCGGAAGGAUCAUUACCGAGUAUUGGGUCUUCGCGCCCGCACUCCAACCCUUUGUGUACCUAAAUCCGUUGCUUUGGCGGGCCCGCGGUGUAAUGCCGCUGCCGGCUCACGCUGGUUAGCGCCCGCCAGAGAGCCGUUAAACUCUUGUUUAUUUAGUGUCGUCUGAGCAAAAAUAUAAUUAUUAAAACUUUUAACAACGGAUCUCUUGGUUCUG
rnacentral:misc_RNA from 1 species